CCCUCCUGAGUCCUGAUUCUUUGUAUGUGACUCUUUCUCCCUUCUGUCACUGGCGUUCUGAAAUUUCAGGGUGGCAUGCUUUGGUGAAGGUUUGUUUUCAUGCAGUGCCAGGCUGUUGUUGAACCCUUUCAGAAUGGACUCUGGUCCUUCACUUCUGGGAAACUUCCUUGAAUUCGUUGUUAAUGAUUUCCUUCCUUUAGUUUUCUGGCUUUUCUUCCUGGAAUUCCUGUUCAGAUAUUGGAUCUCCUGGACUUAUCUCUGUUUUUCUUAUUUUUUCUGUCCCUACCACCUCCUGUUUUCUUGACUUUUUGAUCUCCUUUAUGGAAGAUUUCCUGUUGAUUGUCUAAGUGUUCCUUUUUUUUUUUUUUAAUUAGGACCUCAUUCCAUGGUUGCAGCAUCUUAUCUCUGAGAACAUUAAUAUGCUUUGUUGAAGCUUUCAUCUCCUGCGUGAUUUUUUUUUCCCUUUUUGUUUUGCUUUUAGUCUUUCAUGUUACAGACUUUCCUUAGCUGCCUGGCAAUCAUUGGUAGUCUGCUUAUAUUUACAGGUGGGAUAUUAAGAAGAAUAUGUGUUUGUAAGAUGAACUGAUUGAACUUUUUUUUUUUUUUAAGAUUUUAUUUAUUCAUUUGAGAGAGAAUGAGAUAGAGAGAGCAUGAGAGGGGGGAGGGUCAGAGAGAGAAGCAGACUCCCUGCCGAGCAGGGAGCCCGAUGCGGGACUCGAUCCUGGGACUCCAGGAUCAUGACCUGAGCCGAAGGCAGUCGCUUAACCAACUGAGCCACCCAGGCGCCCCUGAUUGAACUUUUUUUGGCAAAUCCCUAAUGUCCACUACUUUUAGGACUUUCCUCUUGGCCUGGUCAGGUUCGCUGGAGGAAACUUCCAGUUUCAUGUCUGGAGGGUUUACCUUGAACUGCUGCUGGCCUUGUGGGAACUCAGUGAAGGAAGAGGGCUAGAGAGCUUCAGCAUUCUAGUAUGCCUAGGUUCACUUAUCUUCCAGCUCUCUGAGAAGGCCUCCUCCCCAGAAACCUACCCCCUCUAGAGAAAAAGCUUCCAACUUUUGCCAAGGCGGGGGAGGAGCAGUCUCAAGAUCACAUGGAGGUCUGGAUAUUGAUGCACAAUCUCUCUUUUUAAAAAAACAUGUAUUUUGACAAGAUGAAAUCAGAGAGGGAGAUAAAUCAUAAGAGACUCUUAAUCAUAGGAAACAAACAGGGUUGCUGGAGGGGAUGGGGGUAGGGGGAUGGGGUACCUGGGUGAUGGACAUUAAGGAGGGCUCGUGAUGUAAUGAGCACUGAGUAUUAUGUAAGACUGAUGAAUCACUGACCUCUACUGCUGAAACUAAUAAUGCAUUAUAUGUUAAUUAAUUGAAUUUAAAUAAAUAAAAUUUUAAAAAUUGUUUGAAAAUAUAUUAGUCUAGGGGUGCCUGGGUGGCUCAGUCAGUUAAGUGUCUGCUCAGGUCAUGAUCCCAGGGUCCCGGGAUUGAGCCUGCUUCUCUCUCUGCCUCUCCCGCCCUCCUGCUCUGCUCUCUCUCACUUGCUCUCAAAUAAAUAAAAUCUUAAAAAAAAAAAAUAGUUGAAAAUGGAAAAUAACUUGGCAAAAUAAAGAAGAUACAGAGCAAAGAAUGAUGUCAGAUAACUAGACCAAGAUUUAAGGGAUAGAUUCUGGUUCUGAUUACCUCCACUACUUCUUUCCAAGCCUCUAGUUUGUUAUCUAUGCAAGGGAGGGUUUAGAUUCAGUUGAUUCGGGCGCCUGGGUGGCUCAGUUGGUUGGGCGACUGCCUUCAGCUCAGGUCAUGAUGCUGGAGUCCCUGGAUCGAGUCCCGCAUCGGGCUCCCUGCUUGGCAGGGAGUCUGCUUCUCCCUCUGACCCUCCCCCCUCUCAUGUGCUCUCUCUCAUUCUCUCUCUCUCAGAUAAAUAAAUAAAAUCUUUAAAAAAAAAUAGAUUCAGUUGAUUCAUCAAUACUAUCUCAGUCUCUAUGCUUACCUGCUGGGUAUUCCAUUAGCUUAAAAAAAAUGCAGGAAUUUUUUCUGCCUCUGGUCAAAUGGAGUUAAGUGCAUGGAUUUGGUCUCAAACCUGAAAAUUAAAUAAAACUCAAACAUUGAAAGAGAGCAAUCCCUAGGAGAUGGGAAACAAAUUAAGAUGGCUUGCUUACUACUGCCUUGUGAGAGUUUCUGGGCAGUGGAACAGGGAGGAAACUGAAAGGUUGAAGGGUCUGAGCUAGGAGUUCAGAGAAGUUGAGGCAGCUCAUGUUCAUGAGACAGAAUACCAGAAUAAAGCUGCACAGAGAACCCAGGAGAUCUGCAGAAGAGCCCUCUUGAGUACUCAGAAUACUGGUCAGCACAAGAGUGUGAAAAAACUAACUGAGGCCAGAGAAAGAACCAUCAAAAAGGAUUAUAACUGCCUGGCAUUACACAAGGCUGGGAAUUGUUCCUACCAGCCAGAUAAAAAUUUCACAGAAUAGGGGCACCUGAGUGGCUCAGUCGUUAAGCGUCUGCCUUCGGCUUAGGUCAUGAUCCCGGGAUCGAGCCCCACAUUGGGCUCCCUGCUCCGCGGGAGGCCUGCUUCUCCCUCUCCCACUCCCCUUGCUUGUGUUCCCUCUCGCUGUGUCUCUCUCUGUCAAAUAGAUAAAAUCUUAAAAAAAAAAUUUCACAGACUAUUGGGUAGACCAUUGUUUGAAAAUGUACCAAGGAUUUUGUUUUAAUUAGGUAUAGUGUAGACAUGGAGACAACUGCCUUGAAAAAAGGUGAUUACAGUUUCCAAGAGAAGGGAGCAUGCCAUGCCAUUCAGAGUCACAUGAAGAAACCCCAGAGUGGGUCAGGAGGCAGUAGGAGUGAGGGGCCUUUAACCUGUGGUUUCCAUGGGGAAGGAAUGGGCAAGGUAAGGUAGGCAAGUUUGAGUAAGCUUAGAAUUGGUUCAUUCAAAUAAAUUCAGAGGGUUCUUGGCUAUAGGAGUGGUCUCUAGUUAUCCAUAACCUGGCCCUGACGUGACUUAGGACAGAGGAAAUACUGGUUUGCUAUGUGAGAAUUAGGUAAAGGUGGUUGGAGUUACAGUUUGAUUAGUAAGUUUGUAUAUGAAAGGCUCACUCUGCAAGUGAAUUGUUUACUGUCUAGGAAUUAACCAACUCUGGGAGGGCAGUCUCCAGGAUUAGCAAGUCCCCAAGACACAAAGCAUCAUAAAAAUAAAUUUUUAAAACACUUAAAAAAUUAACAAAAUAAAAAAUAAAUAAAUAAAUAAAUAAAAAUAAGGUAUCAAGGAAAGUCUUGCCUCAUUAAGUGAGGAAUAAUUAGCUCUGGACUGAGCACUGCUCAGGACCCACAUUAACAAAUAAUAAAAAUGAGACGGGAAAGGAUCAAACUGUUUCCAAUUAGCUGUAUCCUAGAGCAAAACUCAACAAGAUUUAUAGGAAUAUAAAAAUACCAAGCACAUUACAAGGUAAAAUUCUGGCAUCCAAUCAGAUUACCAGGCUUGCAAAGAGGCAGGAAAGCACAACCCAUAAUGAGAAUAGUCAAAGCAGAUCCAAAACGGACCCAAUUGUUAGCAUUAGCAGAGAAGGACAUUAAACAUUAUUUUAACUAUUUCCUUUUUCAAAAAGUUAAGAAGGGUGGUUCAGAGGGUUGAGCAUCUGACUCUUGAUUUCCACUCAGAUUUCAGGGUUGUGAGAUCUAGCCCCACUCCCCCAACAGUUGGGCUCUGUGCUCAGCAGGGAGUCUGCUUGAGAUUCUCUCUCUUCCUCUCCGUCUGCCCCUCCUCCACUUGCACACUCACUCCCUAAAUAAAUAAAUAAAUAAAAUCUUUUAGAAAAAAGGAGAGGCAUAGAUGAUUUAAAAAGACAGAGGAGGUGAGAGGAAUGGGGAUGGGAGGAGAAAGAAGGAAAAGGAGGAAAGGGGAGAAAUUUCAAAUUGAAGUUUGAUGAACUUUGAAAACAUGCUAAGUGAAAGAAACCAGACACAAAAGGCCAUGUAUGAUUCCAUUUAUAUGAAAUGUUCACAAUAGGCAAAUUCACAGAGACAAAGCAGAUUAGUGGUUGCCACAGACUGGGGAAGGGAGAAUAAGGAGUGCCUACGUGAUGGCAAUGGGGUUUCUUUUAUGGGGUAAUGAAAACGUUCUGUAAUUAGGAUGGUUGCACAACAGGGAGAAUAUACUAAAAGCCACUGAAUUGUACACUUUAAAAAGGUUAAAAUGGUGGGAUGCCUGGCUGGCUCAGUGGCUUUAGGGCGUGACUCUCGAUCUCUAUAAAUUGUAAGUUUGAGCCCUAAGCUGGGGGUAGAGAUUACCUAAAAAUAAAUCUAAUAAAAAAUGGUUAAAAUGGGGAAUUUUAUAUUAUGUGGAUUUUGCCUCAAUAAAAAAAAGUUAAGCCAACAAGAGGAGAUUUAUGAUGGAUUCAUAAAUAUUCUAAAAGAAGGCAGAAAAAGAGGAAGAGGGGAACAAAGAACAGAUGGGGCAAAUAGAAAAUAAAUAGCAAGGGGCGCCUGGGUGGCGCAGUCGUUAAGCGUCUGCCUUCGGCUCAGGUCAUGAUCCCAGGUCCUGGGAUCGAGCCCCACAUCGGGCUCUCUGCUCUGCAGGAAACCUGCUCCUCCCUCUCCCGCUCCUCCUGCCUGUUCCCUCUCUGGCUGUCUCUCUCUCUGUCAAAUAAAUAAAAUCUUAAAAAAAAAAAAAAAAAGAAAUAGCAAGAUGACGGGCCAUCAAUAAUGGCUUCUUGAGGGGUCCAAGCCCAUGGUCCCGGCUGUGAUGUAGGGGAGGCUGGUGGUGGUCGCUGUGGAGGUUUUGCACCAAUGCCCAGCAGAGGCAGCCUCUUGUAGGCAGAGCCCCCUGGGAGUGGUGGCUGGGUAGGGUAAGGAAGGAAGAAUGAGCAAGGGGGAAAACAAAGGAUGGAGGGGACAUGCUGAUGCUGGUGAAGUACCAACAGCUGCAGCUUCAGGAGCUGUGUGUGUCUGGUUUGGAGAUCUAGUCUGGUGGACCCCUUAAGGAAGGAAGAUACAGAAUUUAAACCUUGUCUCACAAGUGUAUGGUAGAGCCAAAGAAGACAAACAACCAAGGGUCAUCUGAAAUUGUUAUCAGUUCCCUAAUAAUCUCAGGACAAAGUUGGAGAUCACUAUUAAAGCAUAAGACUUACAGAGAUGUUUGAUAUAAAGACUUGGGCUGAGUGUGUUGUGGAAUGGGCUGCAAAGGACCCACUUGGCUUCCUUACAAUGUUGUUUUGGCCCUUACUCCAUUGUUUCUAACAAAUGUCAUACUGUCCGGGAAAUUGGCCGAGAUGAUGGAGGGAAAAGGAGCAAAAGAAGAAGCAAAACUGUCAAGGAACUAUUGCAAACGCUAAAUGACUGAAAAAGGAUUGAAGGAACGAACAGCUUCUUGCGCCCAGAGGAAAAUUAUUUGGAAAAUUAUGCAGCUUUGGAAGGACCCACUAAGGUUUCUUUUCUGGUUUUUAUGACAGUAAUUUGUAGUAAACGAAGUCUGAGCACAUGGAAGAGUCAUGUUAGUUGUGACUUCUACUGCAGCAACUUUUAGGCUCUGUGUAGAAGUCUGUUGAUGGUUAUUGUAAAUUGGCAUUUAUUAUGCUAUAAAUUCUUUAUAACGGACUUAGUCAUUUGCCAUUUUGCAGUUUAUGUACUGUAAUGAAAACAUCCUGUGGAGAAUAAUGACUAUGUAUUAUGAACUCUAUUCAAAUAAUGGCUUAGAAUGGAGUUCUUUUCUGGACGAAGGGAAUUAAGAAUGUAAAAAUCAGAACUAUCUUGAGGUGAAAAAUGUGCUUUGGCUUAAAAGGCAUAUAGUAUACUAAUUACAUCUUUUAUCAUUAUUGCUUAUUUCUUGGAAUAGAAUCAUUUCUGGCUUUCUCAAAGCCAAAUAUUAACCAAUGACUAUUUCUGUGUUCUGCAUUUUUUCAUUUUUUAGCCUUUGAGAUAAUUAUCAGACAUUCUGCAUUUUUUUAUUUUAUUUAUUUAUUUGACAGAGAGAGAGACAACGAGAGAGGGAACACAAGCAGGGGGAGUGGGAGAGGGAGAAGCAGGCUUCCUGCCGAGCAGGGAGCCCGAUGCGGGGCUCGAUCCCAGGGCCCUGGGAUCAUGACCUGAGCCGAAGGCAGACGCUUAACGACUGAGCCACCCAGGUGCCCCAAUUCUGCAUUUUUUAAAAUCUAAUUUUAUAAAGAAUUCUUUUAUUGACUAUGUAGGAUACCACCUACCGGGUAUAACAAGUUUUGUACUUACGAACAUGAGUAAAAUAACACUAUGACUUAAAGCUUGCAGUAAAGGGGCCCCUGGGUGGCUCAGUCGGUUAAACCUCUGACUCUGGGGUCCUGGGAUUGAGCCCCACAUGAGCUUCCCUGCUCAGUGGGGAGUCUGCUCCGUCUCCCUCUGCUCCUCCCCCUGCUUAUGUGCCCUCUCUCUCUCUCAAAUAAAUAAAUAAAAUCUUAAAAAAAAAAAUAAGGCUUGCAGUAAAAAUGCAAACCUUGUGGUACUUUGGAACCAGGUUAUUCUUUCUUGUGGUAAGUAGAAAUGUGAAUUAGUUAAAAUGUCUUAUCAGAUAAUUUGCUGAUUAUAUAGAUGCCACUUUUAUGUUUUUUAUUCCGUUCUUUUUUUCAGUUUAUUUAGUAGUGAUGUUCUAUAUUUUGAUCAAACAGGUUCAUGGUGAAAAUUAAAAAUUCAAAUUUCUUGUAAGUCAUGUUUCGUAAGUGGUAAAGAAAGGUUUAACAUUUGGAAAAACUUUGUUCAUCGUACUAAUAAUUGGGUGAAAAAGGGAAGUUAUGUCAAAAUGAAAAUGUGUUAAAAUUAGAAAUAGGGGGCGCCUGGGUGGCUCAGUUGGUUGGGCGACUGCCUUCGGCUCAGGUCAUGAUCCUGGAGUCCCGGGAUCGAGUCCCACAUCGGGCUCCCUGCUCAGCGGGGAGUCUGCUUCUCCCUCUGACCCUCCCCGCUCUCAUGCUCUCUCUCUCAUUCUCUCUCUCUAAUAAAUAAAUAAAUAAAUAAAAUCUUAAAAAAAAUAAAAAAUAAAAAAUAAAUUAGAAAUAGGGUGGGGGGAUGGGUUAGCCUGGUGAUGGGUAUUAAAGAGGGCACGUAUUGAACAGAGCACUGGGUGUUAUACGCAAACAAUGAAUCAUGGAACACUACAUCAAAAACUAAUGAUGUAUGUAUGGUGACUAACAUAACAUAAUAAAAUUAAAAAAAUUAGAAAUAAAGAGCUAAAGUAUAUUUCCGUCAGUUAAGUAGUAUAACUGGAACUUUUAGUAUUAAACAUGGCUUUUAUAAAUGCAUAGUCCAAUAAUUUUAUUCACUGUCAGUAAUAGCUUCAUAAUGUUUUCCUCACCUCUGAUAAUGAAUUUUAAAUUACAAAAAAUUAUCUAACAGCUUUAAUUUAAAAAUGAAACUAGAUAUUGAAACAAAUUUGAGGGGUGCCUCAGUGGCUCAGUUGGUUAAGUGUCUGCCUUGUGCCUUCAGCUCAGGUUGUGAUCUCGGGGGCCUGGGAUCGAGCUCUGCAUCAGCUCCUUGCUCAGCGAGGAGCCUGCUUCUCCUUCUCCCUCUGCUUUCCACCCUCUGCUGGUGCUCUCUCACUCUAGCUCUCUCUCAAAUAAAUAAAUAAAAAAAAUCUUUUUUAAAAAUUAAAAA